rnacentral:tRNA from 1 species
GCAUUAGUAGCUCAGAUGAGAGUAUUGGUCUUGUAAACCAGAGGUCGGAGGAGUAAACCCUCCCUAUUGCU